GACAGAACCAUGGAGGAGAGGCCCUACGGCCUAGAGAGGCAAAGAUCCAGCGACCCGAGGGGCUGUAGAUGCUGCGUGGGAAGGAAGCGCUUCCGGGGAUGACGGCGGAGAGGGCCGGACUAAGAGUGCGCAGGCGCAGUGCUGGAAUGUGUGGCCUGUCUUGGAGUCCAUCCCCUUGACGGCACAGCUGGGCACACUCCACCCCUAUUUCCUCCCCCACAGGGAAGGCUCUCCCUACCCAAUUCUCCUACAAUGAAAAUACACAGCCUAGACCUUGAA